rnacentral:rRNA from 1 species
UAGGGAAUCUUCCGCAAUGGGCGAAAGCCUGACGGAGCAACGCCGCGUGAGUGAUGAAGGGUUUCGGCUCGUAAAACUCUGUUAUUAGGGAAGAACAUAUGUGUAAGUAACUGUGCACAUCUUGACGGUACCUAAUCAGAAAGCCACGGCUAACUACGUG